GGGUUAGUAGGUUGGUCAUGCCUCUGGUAUGUACUGGUCUCACUGAUUCCUCCUUCCUGAUGAGCCGUAAUGCCACUAAUUUGGUGUUGCGGGGAGUUUGGACUGUUACUUUGAAAAAAUUAGAGUGUUUAAAGCAAGCUAACGCUUGAACACAUUAGCAUGGAAUAAUGAAAUUGGACGUUUGAUUCUAUUUUGUUGGUUUCUAGGAUCGACGUA
rnacentral:rRNA from 1 species